CGAAGAGAAGCGACUAGAAAUUGUCAUUCUGCAAAUAAACAUUGUGAAGAAAGACUGCGCAGUUGUUAAAUUAAUUUAAAUUAAAUUAAAUACAAAUAUAAGCAUUUACAGUUGAAAUUCUACCUGGCUAUUCGCUGUGCGUGUGUGUGUGCGUGUGCGUGUACUUAUGCAAAUUUCGAAUGGAUGCAAAUAAAGCAGUUCGCUUGCUGUCCGAUGCGGCCACGCCCAUCUUGCCAGCCAUAAAUCUACGGAGACGACGUGGCUGGAGCAAUUGAAAUGGGAGCAGUUCUUUUCACAUCACUUCAGGUGCGGCCACCUGGCCGCAAACAAACGGCCCACGACCAGCAGCCAAACACGCUCACACACACUCUCACACACUCUCACACACAUACACACACAUACACACACACGCAGGACAAUUUGGAGAAUGAUUCGGUUACGGACUUGGUUUCAGUUACGGCCUGCACUUUCGGCCGGACAAUCGAAUGGACACAAAAGGCCUGUAAUUGAGUGAAGCAGGAAAAUGGCAGUUGAAAUUCGCAGCUACUGCCCAGUGCAGCUGGCAAAGGUGCUGCGAACGCAUCAGAGCUGGUCGGGGCCUGGUGGUCGCCAGUGGACUGCCAUGUAUUAUUUGAGCCGGCAGCGCAGCAGCAACGGACGAGCCCCAUGCCCAACAUCGCCGGCCCAUCCGGCCCCAGCUCCGCCCCCAGCGAAACAUUUGCGAACCCUAACCUGCAUCGUACGCCGCGUCAAUUGAAAAUUGAAAUUGGAAUUUCGUGCAAAUAUUUCCAAUCCAAUUUCAAUUUUACAACACGCAACAUGGCCACCAGCCACCGGCCACUGGCCGCCAAUGCACCAAUGGCUGCCCAACCGCUCGCGAAAUUCGUCAUAAUUAAUGUGCCUGAUUUGCCAGAAUUUACGCCCGUAACAUUCAAAUCCGGUGCCGGUGCAUUGCAGCAAUUUGAGCUGCUCUUGUUUAGCUGUUGUUAUUGUUGUUGUUUCUUAGUCAAUUGUUGUUGUUAUUGCUGUUUGCGCUUUAUUUUUAUGCGCUGCAUAUUGUUUGCUGGUUUGCUGCAUCCGCCGGACCCUGUCGACGCUUCAAUUUCAUUUCGAUUUGCAUGCCAAAAUGUGAGCCUUGCUUUUAUUUUAAUUCCCAUUCUAUUUCACAAUUCCAGCCCGGUUAGCCAUUAUCCGCUCACUCGCUUAUACAACAUCCUGCUAAUCACAACUCAUCCAUCACCUGCCUAUCAAAACAGCAUUUCCUUACAUAACCCGCCCACGCUUCAAUCGCAUUCGACGGCACCAAAACCAAUUAGAAAUAUUGCGCUUUUAAAGGGCUUUUACACAGAUCCAUUUUAAUAUCGAAAUUACAUCGGAUAUUAAAAGUGUCCAUAGCUAAAUACAAACAGGCAUGUGGCAUGCCUGUGGAAUAUAUUAAUAAAGCUGAAAUGUAGAGCUUUCUGCACAAAAUAUGAAUCAAUUUGUAUCGAGUUUUUAUUAAAUAAUCUCAAUGCUAUUAAGUAUAGCCAGUUGCACCAGAUAUUGACAAGGGAUAGAUGUAUAUAUAGAAUGUUAUAUUUCAUAACUCAAUCAUAUAAACUUUUAUAUACUUCUGUCAUUCUACUUCUGUCUUUCUACAAAUCAAUCUCAGUUUUUGGAUGAUAUAGAUAGGGAGAUAAAUUGAUAUAUAGAAGGAUUUUUUACUUCUAGACCUUGUAUACUUCUAUAAUUUAUUGUUAACUAAAACUAUUUUGGUAAUUAGCAUAGUUGUCAUUUAAUAAUUAAAUAAUUAAAACAAAGGAUAUUCAAUUCAAUUAGUUUCCCAUAGUAAAGUCCAAUUGAGGUCCAAUUGAUGCCCAAGCGCAGUUGCAGCAUUCGUUAACUGCGCUGUUAUUAGAGCGUGAGCUUAUGCGUGCGUGUUUGUGUGUGUGUGUAUGCGUGCAUGUGUGCAUGUGUGCACGUGUUCUUCGUUAUGCCGCGAAGACUGAUUGGAAUAUAAGCUCUUCGCUGGAUUCGCGAUUCAUUUUCUAGUCGAGCAGUCCCGACUAGAACUUCUCUUUUUAUGUUCACAAUUUUUCUAUGUAACAGCUUCGACUAGAAUAUUGGAUGAUAAGAAGAGACUUAGGGACUGUAUCAAAGUGAAAUGCAAAUAAAAUAAAACCAUAUGGUAAAUGUAAUGUAACUCAAGAGAAUAAAUGCCUUGAGGCUUCUACAAUGACCGAGUCUUUUUUAGUGAUAUAUUCAGAUUAAUUUCAUCUGAGGAUUUCAUUACCUUUUCUUCCGUAUUGGGGGCCAAUGCUUAAAGAAAAUAAAAAAAAAAAUAAAUAAAUAAAAAAAUAAAACAGACAGCCUUGGUUUAUGUAUAAGCCAAGCACCGUGACGAUUAUAAUUUGUAUAGCAAAAAAUUAAGAAAUAAACAAUUUUUUUGAGUUAUUUAAAAAUAAUUACAUUACUAUAAACAUUGGCCGUCCUCUAAUAAAA